rnacentral:lncRNA from 1 species
GAUACUAGUACUAUUAUUUAUUUUUCUUCCAUCUAAUAUUGUUGGAUUUUGUUUUCGAGGGGCGGCAAUCUAAGAGAAAGAUGAAUUGAAUUUUUUAAAAAUUAAUUUAAAAAUUUAUACUCAAAAAUUAAAUUAAGAGAGUUUAUGGAGUACUUAAUAGAAAAUUAAUACAUGAUAGAAAAUAAAAGAUAAACAUAAAAGUACAAUCAUAAAUACAUAAGAUUUAUAAUGGUAUGGUGCUCAACUCAGUAUCUAUAUUCACUCCCCAA